rnacentral:rRNA from 1 species
GAUGAACGCUGGCGGCGUGCCUAAUACAUGCAAGUCGAGCGAACAGAUGAGGAGCUUGCUCCUCUGACGUUAGCGGCGGACGGGUGAGUAACACGUGGAUAACCCACCUAUAAGACUGGGAUAACUUCGGGAAACCGGAGCUAAUACCGGAUAAUAUAUUGAACCGCAUGGUUCAAUAGUGAAAGACGGUUUUGCUGGCACUUAUAGAUGGAUCCGCGCCGCAUUAGCUAGUUGGUAAGGUAACGGCUUACCAAGGCGACGAUGCGUAGCCGACCUGAGAGGGUGAUCGGCCACACUGGAGCUGAGACACGGUCCAGACUCCUACGGGAGGCAGCAGUAGGGAAUCUUCCGCAAUGGGCGAAAGCCUGACGGAGCAACGCCGCGUGAGUGAUGAAGGUCUUCGGAUCGUAAAACUCUGUUAUUGGGGAAGAACAAAUGUGUAAGUAACUAUGCACGUCUUGACGGUACCUAAUCAGAAAGCCACGGCUAACUACGUG